rnacentral:rRNA from 1 species
CCGCCUACGGGGCGCAGCAGUAGGGAAUCUUCCACAAUGGACGAAAGUCUGAUGGAGCAACGCCGCGUGAGUGAAGAAGGGUUUCGGCUCGUAAAGCUCUGUUGGUAGUGAAGAAAGAUAGAGGUAGUAACUGGCCUUUAUUUGACGGUAAUUACUCAGAAAGUCACGGCUAACUACGUGCCAGCAGCCGCGGUAAUACGUAGGCGGCAAGCGUUGUCCGGAUUUAUUGGGCGUAAAGCGAG